UNUGACUUGAGUGCAGAAGGGGAGAGUGGAAUUCCAUGUGUAGCGGUGAAAUGCGUAGAUAUAUGGAGGAACACCAGUGGCGAAAGCGGCUCUCUGGUCUGUCACUGACGCUGAGGCUCGAAAGCGUGGGUAGCGAACAGGAUUAGAUACCCUGGUAGUNCACGCCGUAAACGAUGAGUGCUAGGUGUUAGGCCCUUUCCGGGGCUUAGUGCCGGAGCUAACGCAAUAAGCACUCCGCCUGGGGAGUACGACCGCAAGGUUGAAACUCAAAGGAAUUGACGGGGGCCCGCACAAGCGGUGGAGCAUGUGGUUUAAUUCGAAGCAACGCGAAGAACCUUACCAGGUCUUGACAUCCCGAUGCUAUUCUUAGAGAUAGGAAGUUACUUCGGUACAUCGGAGACAGGUGGUGCAUGGUUGUCGUCAGCUCGUGUCGUGAGAUGUUGGGUUAAGUCCCGCAACGAGCGCAACCCUUAUUGUUAGUUGCCAUCAUCAAGUUGGGCACUCUAGCGAGACUGCCGGUAAUAAACCGGAGGAAGGUGGGGAUGACGUCAAAUCAUCAUGCCCCUUAUGACCUGGGCUACACACGUGCUACAAUGGUCGGUACAACGAGUUGCGAGCCGGUGACGGCAAGCUAAUCUCUGAAAGCCGAUCUCAGUUCGGAUUGGAGGCUGCAACUCGCCUCCAUGAAGUCGGAAUCGCUAGUAAUCGCGGAUCAGCACGCCGCGGUGAAUACGUUCCCGGGCCUUGUACACACCGCCCGUCACACCACGAGAGUUUGUAACACCCGAAGUCG
rnacentral:rRNA from 1 species